AGGUUGUUAUAUCUGUUUGCUUGCUGGCUUAAUUAGGCUCAUUUAGUCUCUAGACGGGCAGAAGGUCGUCCACAGUGUGGAAUUUAAACCAUUGCAACCCAGCUUGAUCAGCAGAGCCUCAGCAUGAGGUCAGUGCAUCUACUCUGUCCUGCCUCCAGGAACUUCUUGAGAAGGGGAAAAUACUAGUGCUUACUGAGUUCUUAAGGAAUUUUUUAAAAGGACCAGAUAUUAUAAUUUCUGUAGAACAACUUUUGUAG
rnacentral:lncRNA from 1 species